AAAAAAUAAAAUUAUUUUUUCUCUCGUUUUCUUUUGUUUUUCUCUUCUUCUAUAAAUAUUUUAACAUAUAUAUUAGUAAGAUUCUUAAUUAAUAAUUGCCAUGAAAGGAGAAAACGAAGUUGCUCGCUACUGUUUCAGCACCCAACGAGUUCCCGAUUGUAGAUUUCAUGGUAGAGACGUAGGAGAAACAUGAGUUUUUAGAAACCACAGCUUAUUAGUCACAUGUAAAUAUGAACAUUUAGAAUUUCUUCACUCUCUCAAUGUUAAAAUUUAAUAUAAAAACAGUUCCAGGGGAACUCUAAUAUCUACAUAAUAUGCAAAAAGGCCUUGAAAUUGAGGGGAUAUCUCCUUACAUAUUCCAGCUUGGGCAACCAAACCAUAUGCCGCUUCUCUCUUACUUCGUUUGGUGCAGAAUUUUAUAGUAGAGAUGUAGGUGAUCUAAGUGUGGGAGACGAACAACAAAGUUUUCAUCUCCACGUGUUCAAGGAGUAGUGUUAAGGGCCUUGAGAUUCUAAAAUAACUGGUUGCUCUCAACACUGGCAACAUAUAUACUAUCAAAAUUUUUCUUAUUUUCUUUUUGGGUAAGAAGAUGUUAUUACAUAUUCAUUAGCAUCAAAGUAUAGCAAGUCACGAAACUGUAAAGUUUCACUCGAGAAAAUUUUCAAAUUAUUAAAUUAAUAUUGUGACACCUCGAAUACAAUACCAAGGUCCGAACACGACCGCACACUUUUUAGGGUAGAGCUCUAGAGAAUAUUAUAUUAUAGGCGUGAAAAUUUAUCACAACCUUACUAUCCGUAAACCAAAACGAUUUCAUUUCAUAACAAAUAACAAAACUGGUCCAAUUAUAAAAUUUAUUCAUCUAAUCAUUUUAUUUUAUCCAUUCAUCCCUUUCUAAUAUGAUCCCAACUAUAGCCAAGCAAUCAUAGCCAAGUAUUAAGCCACAUACAGCCUGCAACUCUAAAAAAAAAAAAAAGGAAGGUUGUGAGUUUUACAGCCCAGUAAGAAUUGCGAAUUGCUACACCAUAAGUAAUAAAAAAAUAAUCAAUUAGCAAUACUAGAUAAAAUAAAUAUUGUAUCAAUACUCGAAAAGCUGGUACAAAUAAUAUGUACAUAACUUCUUAUUAUCAUCUUUUCAAAAAAAGCAUAUACAUACAUAUAUACACACACACACACACCCAUGUAUACAUAUAUACAUAUAUACACAUGUAUACAUAUAUACACACACAUGUAUAUAUAUAUAUUUUAAAUAUAACCAAUUGUUCAACAACAGUUUCUUAUGUCAUGUCAUCUGUUUCUCAUUAACUUGAUUUUCAUGUUCUUAUCAAUUAUUUUCCAGCUAUGGACUAACCAAGAUCAUAACCCAGUCCAAGACUGACAAAAUCUAUGCAUAAGCUCGUAGAGGCUAUCCUGUGCAUAAGCUCGUAGAGGCUAUUAUAUAUAUAAGCUCGUGGAGGCUAUCCCAUGCGUAAGCCCGUGGAGGCUAUCCCAUGCAUAAGCUCAUGGAGGCUAUCCUAUACAUAAGCCCAUAGACACUAUCCCAUGCGUAAGCCCGUCAAGGCUGUCCCAUGAUGAGGUUAAUCCAAACUAUAACUCGCCAGUCAGAUUUACAUGUUACUCUUAUCAAAUCGAUUUCUACUUAUAUAAUAAGUUUCUCUCAAAUUCAACGUAUCUUUGUUCACAUAUUUAUGUUUUAAAUAUAUAAUACGUAUAAUAACUAUACGAAUAUAUUUGUACUGAAAAUUAUAUAAAACAUGCCAUCACAUGCCAAGCCAAAUU
rnacentral:lncRNA from 1 species